AAGGAGUCUAACAUGCUUGCGAGUAUUUGGGUGUCAAACCCGGAUGCGUAAUGAAAGUGAAUGGAGGUGGGAAGCGCAAGCUGCACCAUCGACCGAUCUGGAUUUUCUAAGAUGGAUUUGAGUAAGAGCACGUAUGUUGGGACCCGAAAGAUGGUGAACUAUGCCUGAAUAGGGCGAAGCCGGAGGAAACUCUGGUGGAGGCUCGUAGCGGUUCUGACGUGCAAAUCGAUCGUCAAAUUUGGGUAUAGGGGCGAAAGACUAAUCGAACCAUCUAGUAGCUGGUUCCUGC
rnacentral:misc_RNA from 1 species